UUCGUAGGUGACUGCGGAGGAUCAUUAUUGAAAACAAGGGUGUCCAAUUUAACUUGGAACCCGAACUUCUCAAUUCUAACUUUGUGCAUCUGUAUUAUGGCGAGCAGUCUUCGGAUUGUGAGCCUUCACUUAUAAACACUAGUCUAUGAAUGUAAAAUUUUUAUAACAAAUAAAAACUUUCAACAACGGAUCUCUUGGCUCUCGCAUCGAUGAAGAACGCAGCGAAAUGCGAUACGUAAUGUGAAUUGCAGAAUUCAGUGAAUCAUCGAAUCUUUGAACGCAUCUUGCGCUCUCUGGUAUUCCGGAGAGCAUGUCUGUUUGAGUGUCAUGAAUUCUUCAACCCAAUCUUUUCUUGUAAUCGAUUGGUGUUUGGAUUUUGAGCGCUGCUGGCUUCGGCCUAGCUCGUUCGUAAUACAUUAGCAUCCCUAAUACAAGUUUGGAUUGACUUGGCGUAAUAGACUAUUCGCUAAGGAUUCGGUGGAAACAUCGAGCCAACUUCAUUAAGGAAGCUCCUAAUUUAAAAGUCUACCUUUUGAUUAGAUCUCAAAUCAGGCAGGAUUACCCGCUGAACUUAAGCAUAUCAAUAAGCGGAGGAAAAGAAACUAACAAGGAUUCCCCUAGUAGCGGCGAGCGAAGCGGGAAAAGCUCAAAUUUGUAAUCUGGCGUCUUCGACGUCCGAGUUGUAAUCUCGAGAAGUGUUUUCCGUGAUAGACCGCAUACAAGUCUCUUGGAACAGAGCGUCAUAGUGGUGAGAACCCAGUACACGAUGCGGAUGCCUAUUACUUUGUGAUACACUUUCGAAGAGUCGAGUUGUUUGGGAAUGCAGCUCAAAUUGGGUGGUAAAUUCCAUCUAAAGCUAAAUAUUG
rnacentral:rRNA from 1 species